AUUGAACGCUGGCGGCAGGCCUAACACAUGCAAGUCGAGCGGAUGAAGGGAGCUUGCUCCUGGAUUCAGCGGCGGACGGGUGAGUAAUGCCUAGGAAUCUGCCUGGUAGUGGGGGAUAACGUCCGGAAACGGGCGCUAAUACUGCAUACGUCCUGAGGGAGAAAGUGGGGGAUGUUCGGACCUCACGCUAUCAGAUGAGUCUAGGUCGGAUUAGCUAGUUGGUGGGGUAAAGGCCUACUAAGGCGACGAUCCGUAACUGGUCUGAGUGGAUGAUCGGUCACACUGGAACUGAGACACGGUCCAGACUCCUACGGGAGGCAGCAGUGGGGAAUAUUGGACAAUGGGCGAAAGCCUGAUCCAGCCAUGCCGCGUGUGUGAAGAAGGUCUUCGGAUUGUAAAGCACUUUAAGUUGGGAGGAAGGGCAGUAAGUUAAUACCUUGCUGUUUUGACGUUACCAACAGAAUAAGCACCGGCUAACUUCGUG
rnacentral:rRNA from 1 species